CCAGGGUAAAGUUCCAGUUGUAAAGGAGCCCCUCACCCGGAGGGUGUGUUACACACCCUCGCAUUGUGCACGUUAGGCUAAGCAACUUUGGGAUAACAGUCAUCUCCUUAAAUGUGUGUCCUGCAGACGUAUCAGUGACUUCCAGGUCUUCGUUCUUUUUCUUCUGAACGAAGAGGAUAUGGAAUUGUUAAAUUCAAUAAACAGUGACAAGAAGCUGCUUCAUCUUCACCUAUCCAUUACAGAAAGGCUAGCACAAAACUGAGAUCAGCUUUUACACAAAAACCAGAUUCAUUAUUGUAAAGUAAAG